UCAGGAUAUUUUUAUUUACUUUGUUAAAUAUUUUCAAAUUGCAUUUUAAUCUGGAUCUUGUAGCACCGAGUGUUUAACACCUCUGGACCAGGGGACACAGAUAAGUUCAAGAAGACAUAAAUAACACAAGAGGAAAAAGUAGCAAUAGAAGAUUUUCCCCAGGAACCUGAGGAAUAUUCUUACACGAGCACAGAGAUGUCCUCAAUGAGAAAAUGGAAACACUUAGUAAUUACAGGUUGAGGCAGAAACUCAGGAAAUCUUUGCCCAAAGUAUCUGUAGGGAAGAAUGACCACCACUCCUGCUGCCACUGACCUGAUAAGGCCUUCCAGUAAUCUCAUCAAACACUACAUGUGUGGGGCUCGCUCCCAGCUAGGUAUUGUGACUCUGCUUUUCCGUCCUGAGCGAUGGAUGUGCCAUGUGCCUGCUUUGUCUCUCUGUAGGGCUAUCCUGAGAGGGCAGGAGUCAAACUGGCAACAAAGAUGGAAAGGACAAAUGCAAGAAACUAAGUAUAUACAGAAGAAAAUGUAAUCUCAUGAAUUUUGAGAAGUUUCAAAAAUGAAUAAAAGAAAGAAAGAUCAAGAAAGGGUGUGGAAA
rnacentral:lncRNA from 1 species